CCUGUGCUAGGCUUAUAACGGCACUUAACAAAUGUUUGUUAAAUUAAUGGGUCAGGUCUAGUGAGGAAAUGAUUCGUUGUUUGGAUGGGUGCAUGCUGAUUUUGAGAAGUCAGAGGAAUAUAGGAGGAGAGAAAGGAAAUGAAAAACUAACAUUAUUGCUAACAUUAUCGAGCCUGUGCCCCAGGAGUGUGUGCUGGGGCAACGAACAGUAGUGAACAAGAAGGCAAGGCUUCUACUCUCAAGGACUUGACUUUCCCUCUGGUUGGGGCACAGCAUGGAGAGUUUUCUCAUUUUAGAGGAGAACAGAUGCUCUGGGGGAGUAGAUAUGGCAAAGGUUAUUCUCCCGAGAAGCGAGUAUCAUGAACCCACUUACGAGUGCAUGGUGAGCAGGUGUUCCGAGGAAGGCGCUCUGUGAGUGCUGCUGAAGGCCACAGCUGUGACUGCUAACGAAGACGGAAGCCCCGGUCUGCCCCUCCUGAGCCCCUGCUCCUUCCUCUGCCCUGCAGUGCGUCUCAACAAGCGGAUGAAAAUCCAGAGCUCCAACUGCAUUUGGAUCGGAGAUCAUCCGUUUAGAGAGUCGAAACGAGGGUAGGGGAGAAUUUCUGCUAGACAGACCAUGAGACUUUGGAAAGGAACGACAGCUGAUAGUCUCCGAGUACUUAGUACACUCUGGACCCCACAGGAAGCAUUUUAUAUGAAUGCAUGACUGCCUUGAUUCCACGUAACGUCCCUCGUGAAGCAGGGACUCUUAACGGCCCCACUUCACAGUCCAGGAAAGGGAAGCCUCGGAAGAGUGAAGUCGGCGGCGGCCACACACCAGAGCCUCGCCUCUUACCCUACGCUACCUUCUUGAGAGAGAGGCCCGAGAUGAGAAGCUGGUAAGGACGUGGUGGAACUGAGGGAACAAGAUGGCUCCCUCGGGGCUGUCGGUGAGGGUGAGGAGCCUCCCCAGGGCCCGGGAAGCCGGUUAGAACAGGAAGCAGGGUGCGGGGCUGGCGUCCAGGCGAAAACCCAGCAGGCCGGCCCGAGGAUUGUGGGAUUCCACCAACCUGAGGGGUGAGAGGCCUUUGACAGAGCUCUUUCGGGAGCGCAGACCUGCUCUCCUGCAGGCGCACUACCCAAGCCACUGCUCGCUGCCUGACCCUCCCCACUAUGCUGAUUGCUCCGGCUCAACCCGUCUGCUUGGGGAAGAAGGCUUCAACUGUGCGCCUCCCUCCCAUCCCCCUCCACGCUGAUCCGCCUCCCUGACCCAGCACCUGCAGCACGAAUUCUAACCAGCUGGAGCACCACCUGGCGUCUACACCAGCCUCUGUUGAGCCCAUUGUUCACGGCACACGCCCCGGCAGCCUGACGAAGAACAACAGUAACUCCGGACCGGGGAUACACGCUGGACUGAGAAGCAGAGUCCAGUUACAGACUGGAAAUCAGUGAAGGACAGAAAAUAAACUGAAGCAAGAGAAGAGAAGCGUGGGCUGGCAAGGGGCCAAGCUGGAGUGGACUAAAUCUGACAGUGUGCAAAUCAGCCUGCACUUGAUUGGUCAAGAUGAGCACUUUAAAAAUAAGAAACGUCGAUGGGAAAAGCACCUCCGCUCCAGCAAGACAUCUUGGAUGCCUACAUGAAACCAGUAUCCCUUCAGUAUUUUGCUGGAUUUGGAACACUGCCCUGCAGGAAAAGAGGCCCUUGGGGGAACCUGAUCCACCCCUGCAUGAUCCCUUCAGGGGGAGACUCUUUAGGAGGGUGGGAGGGGUGCUC